AAGCUGUGUGUCCUUUUGAGGAUGUUUUAAUUAUCUCGUGAGAAGCGGUUAGAAAAUGGAGAGUGUCACUGCAUUGUGGUACCACCACUAGCUAUAGCUUACUAAUCCAGUGGAAUAUUUUGAGGCCCUUUUACCCAUUCUUUUACAUUUUUUCCUAUAAAUAGCUGCUACUGGCUGGAGAGCAAUCUAACAUCCCACACGAUUCUCUUCUUCUCUCUUUCAUUAUCAUUAUCAUUAUCAUCAUCCCCUUCCCUUUCUUAUACUCUCUUUUUUCUUUCAGGCUGAGGUAGAACAAGAGCCUGAGAAGGAGGCACUGGUUUUCUAAGGUUGUUGACAGAAGAUAGAGAGCACUGAUGAUGAUAUGCAUAUAUAUAUUAUACUAUAUAUAUAUAUAUAUAGAGAGAGAGAGAGAGAGAGAGAGAGAGAGAGAGAAGGAACUGAUCAAUUGUGCAUCUCACUCCUUUGUGCUCUCUAUACUUCUGUCAUCACCUUCAGCCUCCAUUUCUCAUUCCUCCUCUCUCUACACCAACUGUUGAUGUUACAAUUACACAAUACAAGGUUUUGGCCGCAUCAAUGGAUAGUGAUUCUAGUGAUGGCAUCAACUGUAUUAUUUAUCUUUAAUUUCUUGCAAUAUCAUAAAAUGAUGAAAUGAAUAUAGAUAUCUAGGCCAACAUACGAUUGCUGUAUUAAUUAACCUUUAUGUUUUUGCAGUUAGACGCGUGUGGCUGUUGGACACUAGGAAUUAUCUGUCUGUUGAUGGCAUGAGAGAGUAAGAAUGAGAAACUGAUAAAGGAUUUAGCUUUUUUUGUAAUUUUCUACACCCUUUUGUUCUUUUUCCUGCUGAUUUCCUUCAGUGUGCUAGUGUGUAUAAACAUUUGAUUUGGGCAUAGUAGAUCUGUAUUUUGUGCUUCAAAGAAAAAUCUGACUUCCUUUCAACAAGAAGAAUGUAGUACAAGUUGCUUUAUGGAAGAAGGACCACAUGCAAUUGGAAUUUGUGGCAAGGGAUUGCGAAGAAAAUGUAUGGGGUCCAAUUCAAAACUGACUAUGACAUAUUGUAGGGCACAUACAUACUUGAUUUCUCAGGAUUCUUCCAGUCAGUACCCCACACUCUUGUCAAUGAUUUCCAAGGUGAUCUAGCCAAUAACAAAGGGUCAAGAACAAAACCAAGAUCAAAUAACUUUAUAUAUACUGUAAAUAAUAUCUGGUUAUGGUGAAUGAACAAAAGGUUAAAACUAAAAAGAUAAAAAGGAGAAAGGCACUUUUGACUUGGAUGAAGAUGACCCCACUAUUACUAUUCAUGUGACGUAUUUGAAGUGAGAAAGUGAUAGGAAAUUGAUGUAUAGUAGUAGUAUUAGUGAGAAAGUGGUAUUGCAAUCCAAGAUAGAACCCUUAUAUCUGAUAAACAAUGUGAAGAAGAUACAGUGAAAUAUCACUUGUCUUGCCUGCAAUGCAAGAAACAUGAAAUUAAUGAAAGUAUUCUUCCAUUUUCUAGA